ACCUACGGGGGGCAGCAGUGGGGAAUAUUGCACAAUGGGGGGAACCCUGAUGCAGCGACGCCGCGUGAGUGAUGAAGUAUUUCGGUAUGUAAAGCUCUAUCAGCAGGGAAGAUAAUGACGGUACCUGACUAAGAAGCUCCGGCUAAAUACGUGCCAGCAGCCGCGGUAAUACGUAUGGAGCAAGCGUUAUCCGGAUUUACUGGGUGUAAAGGGAGCGUAGGCGGCCUGGCAAGCCUGAUGUGAAAUACCGGGGCCCAACCCCGGGGCUGCAUUGGGAACUGCCAGGCUGGAGUGCCGGAGAGGCG
rnacentral:rRNA from 1 species